rnacentral:lncRNA from 1 species
CUCGGGCACUGAUUCUCAACCCUGGCUAACCACUAAAAAUUUACUCAAGGAGCUUUUAAAAAGUAUCAGUACCUAGGACACAACACAGGUUAAUUGAAUAAGAACUUUGGGAGGAGACUCUAGCAAAUAGCAUCCCUGGUGAGAUGAAGAUCAUUACAAAAGAAUGCAAAGAGACAGCGUGGACAGUCCCUUCCGACACGCUAGCCAGGUAAAUGCAAAGAGACAGCGUGGACAGUCCCUUCCGACACGCUAGCCAGGACUGACACAGAAAGAAAACCUUUGGAACAGGAAAAGAAGCGCCUCUUUUGACAAAGCAAAGGGGGAUCACAGAGUUCCAGCCCUGGGGGCUGCGUCUGGGGGUUUCCUGGCAUCAGAAGAGCUGAUGGCGAGUUUUCCCUCAACCAUCACCGGCAAUGUGAAACUCAGUGGAGCGAAAGGCUCCUUGUUCCCACAGGGUCACAUUCAAGCACAAUUCAAAUAUGCAUACAGUAAAAUCAUGAGAUCCCAGCUACUCUCAACAAGGCUUA